rnacentral:rRNA from 1 species
CCAGACUCCUACGGGAGGCAGCAGUGAGGAAUAUUGGUCAAUGGUCGGGAGACUGAACCAGCCAAGCCGCGUGAGGGAUGAAGGUACAGAGUAUCGUAAACCUCUUUUGUCAGGGAACAAAGGCGGGGACGUGUCCCCGGAUGAGUGUACCUGAAGAAAAAGCAUCGGCUAACUCCGUGCCAGCAGCCGCGGUAAUACGGAGGAUGCGAGCGUUAUCCGGAUUUAUUGGGUUUAAAGGGUGCGUAGGCGGAGUGUCAAGUCAGCGGUAAAAUUUCGGGGCUCAACCCCGUCGUGCCGUUGAAACUGACGCCCUUGAGUGAGUGAGAAGUAAGCGGAAUGCGUGGUGUAGCGGUGAAAUGCAUAGAUAUCACGCAGAACUCCGAUUGCGAAGGCAGCUUACUAAACUAUAACUGACACUGAAGCACGAAAGCGUGGGGAUCAAACAGGAUUAGAUACCCUAGUA